rnacentral:rRNA from 1 species
CCUACGGGUGGCAGCAGUGGGGAAUAUUGCACAAUGGGGGAAACCCUGAUGCAGCGACGCCGCGUGAGUGAAGAAGUCUUUCGGUAUGUAAAGCACUAUCAGCAGGGAAGAAAACGACGGUACCUGAUUAAGAAGCCCCGGCUAACUACGUGCCAGCAGCCGCGGUAAUACGCAGGGCGAAAGCGUUAGCCGGAUUUACUGGGUGUAAAGGGAGCGUAGACGGCAGGACAAGUCUGGAGUGAAAUGCCGGGGCUUAACCCCGGAACUGCUUUGGAAACUGUGCAGCUAGAGUGCAGGAGAGGGGAGUAGAAUUCCUGGUGUAGCGGUGAAAUGCGUAGAGAUUAGGAGGAAGACCAGUGGCGAAGGCGGCUUACUGGACAGUAACUGACGUUGAGGCGCGAAAGCGUGGGGAGCAAACAGGAUUAGAUACCCCUGUAGUC